rnacentral:rRNA from 1 species
UACAGAGGUCCCGAGCGUUGUUCGGAUUCACUGGGCGUAAAGGGUGCGUAGGUGGUGAGGUAAGUCGGACGUGAAAUCUCCGAGCUCAACUCGGAAAUGGCAUUGGAAACUACCUUGCUUGAGGGUUGGAGGGGGGACUGGAAUACUUGGUGUAGCAGUGAAAUGCGUAGAUAUCAAGUGGAACACCAGUGGCGAAGGCGAGUCCCUGGACAACUCCUGACACUGAGGCACGAAAGCUAGGGGAGCAAACAGG